rnacentral:rRNA from 1 species
AAUGAACGUUGGCGGCAUGGAUUAGGCAUGCAAGUCGAGCGCGAUGAGUCAUUUGCUUGCAUUUGACUCGGAAAGCGGCGUAAGGGUGAGUAACGCGUAGUUACCUGCCUCCGGGUCCGGAAUAGCUGCGGGAAACUGCAGGUAAUGCCGGAUAAUAUCUCAGGAUCAAAGGUGAGAUUCCGCCCGGAGAGGGGACUGCGUCCUACUAGCUUGUUGGUGGGGUAAUGGCCUACCAAGGCUUCGAUGGGUAGCGGGCGUGAGAGCGUGGCCCGUCACACUGGGACUGAGACACUGCCCAGACACCUACGGGAGGCAG